rnacentral:sRNA from 1 species
AAGAUUUUUGAGCAAGGCAGUGACAUACAACAACAGAAUAGUAAUGAUAGCUCCCUCCUUGAUUGAACACUCAGAGUAGGUUGCACCCCGGGCUGCCUGAUUACUCAUUUAACCUUGAGCAGGACACCACAGGGCUCUUCUUUUGGACAGAGAAGAAACUUUCCCCAGUGCACAGAGCCAGCUAGUGCUGGAGCUGGGACUGGCAUCCAAGGCUACCUGUUUGACUCCAAGCCCAGAGCGCUUUCACCCCCAGGCCCACGUGGACAUCUACGAGAAACAGCCUGUGCCCUUUGGCCUGGUGCGCUUUGGCGUGGCGCCUGAUCACCCUGAGGUGAAGAAUGUCAUCAACACAUUUACCCAGACGGCCCACUCUGGCCGCUGUGCCUUCUGGGGCAACGUGGAGGUGGGCAGGGACGUGACGGUGCCGGAGCUGCGGGAGGCCUACCACGCCGUGGUGCUGAGCUACGGGGCAGAGGACCAUCGGGCCCUGGAAAUUCCUGGUGAGGAGCUGCCAGGUGUGUGCUCCGCCCGGGCCUUCGUGGGCUGGUACAACGGGCUUCCUGAGAAC